rnacentral:rRNA from 1 species
AGUGAACGUUGGCGGCGUGGAUUAGGCAUGCAAGUCGUGCGGAAAGGCUCCUUCGGGAGUGCUCGAGCGGCGAAAGGGAGAGUAAUGCGUAGAUACCUACCCCCAGGACCGGGAUAGCCGCGGGAAACUGCGGGUAAUACCGGAUAAUGUCUCCGGACCAAAGGUGUGAUUCCGCCUGGAGACGGGUCUGCGUCCUAUUAGCUAGUUGGUGGGGUAACGGCCUACCAAGGCAAAGAUGGGUACGAGGCGUGAGAGCGUGUCCUCGCUCACUGGGACUGAGACACUGCCCAGACACCUACGGGUGGCUGCAGUCGAGAAUCUUCGGCAAUGGGCGCAAGCCUGACCGAGCGACGCCGCGUGCGGGAUGAAGGCCUUCGGGUUGUAAACCGCUGUCAGAGGGGAUGAAAUGCCGGGGGGUUCUCCCUCCGGUUUGACAGAUCCUCAGAGGAAGUACGGGCUAAGUUCGUGCCAGCCGCCGCCGUAA